CAAGUCGAACGAUGACGACCGUGCUUGCACGGUCUGAUUAGUGGCGAACGGGUGAGUAACACGUGAGUAACCUGCCCCCCACUCUGGGAUAACCUCGGGAAAUCGGGGCUAAUACCGGAUAUGAGCUCCUACCGCAUGGUGGGUGCUGGAAAGUUUUUCGGUGGGGGAUGGACUCGCGGCCUAUCAGUUUGUUGGUGAGGUAAUGGCUCACCAAGGCGAUGACGGGUAGCCGGCCUGAGAGGGCGACCGGCCACACUGGGACUGAGACACGGCCCAGACUCCUACGGGAGGCAGCAGUGGGGAAUAUUGCACAAUGGGCGAAAGCCUGAUGCAGCGACGCCGCGUGGGGGAUGACGGCCUUCGGGUUGUAAACCUCUUUCAGUAGGGAAGAAGCGAAAGUGACGGUACCUGCAGAAGAAGCGCCGGCUAACUACGUGCCAGCAGCCGCGGUAAUACGUAGGGCGCAAGCGUUGUCCGGAAUUAUUGGGCGUAAAGAGCUUGUAGGUGGCUUGUCGCGUCUGCCGUGAAAACCCGAGGCUCAACCUCGGGCGUGCGGUGGGUACGGGCAGGCUAGAGUGUGGUAGGGGAGACUGGAACUCCUGGUGUAGCGGUGAAAUGCGCAGAUAUCAGGAAGAACACCGAUGGCGAAGGCAGGUCUCUGGGCCAUUACUGACACUGAGAAGCGAAAGCAUGGGGAGCGAACAGGAUUAGAUACCCUGGUAGUCCAUGCCGUAAACGUUGGGCACUAGGUGUGGGGAACAUUCCACGUUUUCCGCGCCGUAGCUAACGCAUUAAGUGCCCCGCCUGGGGAGUACGGCCGCAAGGCUAAAACUCAAAGGAAUUGACGGGGGCCCGCACAAGCGGCGGAGCAUGCGGAUUAAUUCGAUGCAACGCGAAGAACCUUACCAAGGCUUGACAU
rnacentral:rRNA from 1 species